rnacentral:rRNA from 1 species
UACAGAGGGUGCGAACGUUGCUCGGAAUUACUGGGCGUAAAGCGCGUGUAGGCGGACCGGUAAGUCAGGCGUGAAAUCCCCAGGCUCAACCUGGGAACUGCGCUUGAAACUGCCGGCCUUGAGUGUCGGAGAGGGUGGCGGAAUUCCUGGUGUAGAGGUGAAAUUCGUAGAUAUCAGGAGGAACACCGGUGGCGAAGGCGGCCACCUGGACGACAACUGACGCUGAGACGCGAAAGCGUGGGGAG